CCUGCCUUAUACCGGGGGAUAACACUUAGAAAUAGGUGCUAAUACCGCAUAAGCGCACAGUUCCGCAUGGAACAGUGUGAAAAACUCCGGUGGUAUAAGAUGGACCCGCGUCUGAUUAGCUAGUUGGUGAGGUAACGGCCCACCAAGGCGACGAUCAGUAGCCGGCCUGAGAGGGUGAACGGCCACAUUGGGACUGAGACACGGCCCAAACUCCUACGGGAGGCAGCAGUGGGGAAUAUUGCGCAAUGGGGGAAACCCUGACGCAGCGACGCCGCGUGAGUGAAGAAGUAUUUCGGUAUGUAAAGCUCUAUCAGCAAGGAAGAUAAUGACGGUACUUGACUAAGAAGCCCCGGCUAACUACGUGCCAGCAGUCGCGGUAAUACGUAGGGGGCAAGCGUUAUCCGGAUUUACUGGGUGUAAAGGGAGCGUAGACGGUUUGACAAGUCUGAUGUGAAAGCCCGGGGCUCAACCCCGGGACUGCAUUGGAAACUGCCAAUCUAGAGUGCAGGAGAGGUAAGUGGAAUUCCUAGUGUAGCGGUGAAAUGCGUAGAUAUUAGGAGGAACACCAGUGGCGAAGGCGGCUUACUGGACUGUAACUGACGUUGAGGCUCGAAAGCGUGGGGAGCAAACAGGAUUAGAUACCCUGGUAGUCCACGCUGUAAACGAUGAUUACUA
rnacentral:rRNA from 1 species